rnacentral:rRNA from 1 species
AGUGAACGCUGGCGGUAGGCCUAACACAUGCAAGUCGAACGGCAGCACAGUAAGAGCUUGCUCUUACGGGUGGCGAGUGGCGGACGGGUGAGGAAUAUAUCGGAAUCUACUUUUUCGUGGGGGAUAACGUAGGGAAACUUACGCUAAUACCGCAUACGACCUACGGGUGAAAGCAGGGGAUCUUCGGACCUUGCGCGAUUGAAUGAGCCGAUGUCGGAUUGGCUAGUUGGCGGGGUAAAGGCCCACCAAGGCGACGAUCCGUAGCUGGUCUGAGAGGAUGAUAACCCACACUGGAACUGAGCCACGGUCCAGACUCCUACGGGAGGCAGCAGUGGGGAAUAUUGGACAAUGGGCGCAAGCCUGAUCCAGCCAUACCGCGUGGGUGAAGAAGGCCUUCGGGUUGUAAAGCCCUUUUGUUGGGAAAGAAAAGCAGCAGGUUAAUACCCCGCUGUUCUGACGGUACCCAAAGAAUAAGCACCGGCUAACUUCGUG